CGUUCAAAGCGACUGUUUUCCACCCCGGAUUCAGUUGGAGUAUUUGCCAAAGUUGAGGAAGGGGCCAAAAUGGGAUUAGACCCACCAGGAGAAGGACAGCAGUAAGAAAGCAAACCAGUGCAGCAAAAUGGAGACUGUGGAGCACAGUAGUGCCUUUUCCCUGUGUUUACUUCUAACCAUAGAGACGGAUUUCAUCGUAGCGGAGACAUGAGAGCAGCAAAAAAAUAAAUAAUAAAAAUAACAAAUCACUUCAGCAAACCAGUGCAGCAAAAUGGAGACUGUGGAGCACAGUAGUGCGUUGUCACUUUUCAAAAAGCUUUUCCCUGUGUUUACUUCUAACCAUAGAGACAGAUUUCAUCGGAGCAGAGACAUAAGAGCAGCAAAAAAAUAAAUAAUAAAAAUAACAGACCACCUCAGCAAACCAGUGCAGCAAAAUGGAGACUGUGGAGCACAGUAGUGCGUUGUCACUUUUCAAAAAGCUUUUCCCUGUGUUUACUUCUAACCAUAGAGACGGAUUUCAUCGUAGCGGAGACAUGAGAGCAGCAAAAAAAUAAAUAAUAAAAAUAACAAAUCACUUCAGCAAA